GGUUGGUGGUGCAUGGCCGUUCUUAGUUGGUGGAGUGAUUUGUCUGGUUAAUUUCGAUAACGAACGAGACUCUAACCUGUUAAAUAGUAAAGGAGCAUCGAGUUGGAUCCUGGUCUUCGGUUGGAGUGAAAAUUCACAGCUGCCUAARAGACUUCUUAGAGGAAUACGCGGGAAUUUCAGCUGCAAGAGAGAGAGCAAUAACAGGUCUGUGAUGCCCA
rnacentral:rRNA from 1 species